rnacentral:rRNA from 1 species
UACGUAGGGUGCGAGCGUUGUCCGGAAUUAUUGGGCGUAAAGAGCUCGUAGGCGGUGUGUCGCGUCGGCCGUGAAAACCUGGGGCUCAACUCUGGGCGUGCGGUCGAUACGGGCAUCACUUGAGUUCGGCAGGGGAGACUGGAAUUCCUGGUGUAGCGGUGAAGUGCGCAGAUAUCCGGAAGAACACCAAAGGCGAAGGCAGUGUCCUGGCUGGUACCUGACGCUCAGGUGCGAAAGCUAGGGGAGCGAACGGG